rnacentral:rRNA from 1 species
GACAGAGGGUGCAAACGUUGUUCGGAAUUACUGGGCGUAAAGCGAGUGUAGGCGGUUCGGUAAGUCGGAUGUGAAAGCCCCGGGCUCAACCCGGGAAGUGCACUCGAUACUGCCGAGCUAGAGUAUCGGAGAGGUUGGUGGAAUUCUCGGUGUAGAGGUGAAAUUCGUAGAUAUCGAGAGGAACACCGGUGGCGAAGGCG